UACGGAGGAUGCGAGCGUUAUCCGGAUUUAUUGGGUUUAAAGGGUGCGUAGGCGAGCUUUUAAGUCAGCGGUAAAAAUUCGGGGCUCAACCCCGUCCGGCCGUUGAAACUGGGGGCCUUGAGUGGGCGAGAAGAAGGCGGAAUGCGUGGUGUAGCGGUGAAAUGCAUAGAUAUCACGCAGAACCCCGAUUGCGAAGGCAGCCUUCCGGCGCCCUACUGACGCUGAGGCACGAAAGUGCGGGGAUCGAACAGG
rnacentral:rRNA from 1 species